GUACGUAGGGCGCAGAGUGUUCGGUUCGAUCUGGGCGUAAAGAGCGCGCAGGCGGUCGUUCAAGUCGCGUGUGAAAGCCCCCGGCUCAACUGGGGAGGGUCACGCGAUACUGAUCGACUCGAAGGCAGGAGAGGGUAGUGGAAUUCCCGGUGUAGUGGUGAAAUGCGUAGAUAUCGGGAGGAACACCAGUGGCGAAGGCGACUACCUGGCCUGUUCUUGAC
rnacentral:rRNA from 1 species